UGCGAGUCGAGAGUCAUUUGGACUCGGCGAACUGCUCAGUAACACGUGGCCAAACUACCCUAUGGAGAGGAAUAACCUCGGGAAACUGAGGAUAAGACCUCAUAGGAGCCGGACGCUGGAAUGCACCGGCUCCGAAACGCUCAGGCGCCAUAGGACGUGGCUGCGGCCGAUUAGGUUGACGGUGGGGUAAAGGCCCACCGUGCCAGUAAUCGGUACGGGUUGUGAGAGCAAGAGCCCGGAGAUGGAUUCUGAGACACGAAUCCAGGCCCUACGGGGCGCAGCAGGCGCGAAACCUUUACACUGUACGAGAGUGCGAUAAGGGGAUCCCAAGUGCCCGCGCCUAGCGUGGGCUUUUCUGAACCGUAAAAUGGUUCAGGAAUAAGGGCUGGGAAAGACCGGUGCCAGCCGCCGCGGUAACACCGGCAGCUCGAGUGAUGGCCGAUUUUAUUGGGCCUAAAGCGUCCGUAGCCUGCCGUACGGGUCCGUCGGGAAAUCCGCUCGCUUAACGGGCGGACGUCCGGCGGAAACCAUACGGCUUGGGACCAGAGGACCCGAGGGGUACGUCGGGGGUAGGAGUGAAAUCCCGAGAUCCUCGACGGACCGCCGGUGGCGAAAGCGCCUCGGGAAGAUGGAUCCGACGGUCAGGGACGAAAGCUUGGGUCUCGAACCGGAUUA
rnacentral:rRNA from 1 species